AACGAACGCUGGCGGCAUGCCUAACACAUGCAAGUCGAACGAGACCUUCGGGUCUAGUGGCGCACGGGUGCGUAACGCGUGGGAACCUGCCCUUAGGUUCGGAAUAACUCCCCGACAGGGGUGCUAAUACCGGAUAAUGUCUUCGGACCAAAGAUUUAUCGCCUUUGGAUGGGCCCGCGUUGGAUUAGCUAGUUGGUAGGGUAAAAGCCUACCAAGGCGACGAUCCAUAGCUGGUCUGAGAGGAUGAUCAGCCACACUGGGACUGAGACACGGCCCAGACUCCUACGGGAGGCAGCAGUGGGGAAUAUUGGACAAUGGGCGAAAGCCUGAUCCAGCAAUGCCGCGUGAGUGAUGAAGGCCUUAGGGUUGUAAAGCUCUUUUACCCGGGAUGAUAAUGACAGUACCGGGAGAAUAAGCACCGGCUAACUCCGUG
rnacentral:rRNA from 1 species